rnacentral:lncRNA from 1 species
CUUCCAGCCUCCUUGGUGCAAUUUCCCCAGGAUAUCCUCUUCAGUAGUGUAUGACCUCCACGUAGCUGCACAGCAGAUACAUUUUAACCUGCUAUCCGAAUCCCAGCUACUCUGGUGAAGGUUUGACAUAUAAAACUGUAGUUAGAUAAUAGAGUCCUUUAAGUGCUGCAUUUAUAAUAAAUUGCUUGUACUGCACAUGCAGGUAAUCGUUGAUGCCAGUUCCAGUGACAACAUUGUGGUAAUUGUUCUUAAUCAGAUGAUCAAUGCUGUUGAAAGAAAUAUUGCUGAAGUAAAAAGGGUCCUCGAAGAAAUACUUGCAUGGAAUAUAUACAUCAUUGAUUUUUAUUCCAAUGAGUUUGAAAGAAGAGCAAGAGAAAGCACGGAUGUAACCUACUUAAAAAUUAUUGCUGUUGAUGAGGCAGCCCAAGAAAUACCUGCAGAAGACGUAAAAAGAAAACUUACAGAGCAGAAGAUCAUCAUUCAGUCAGAACUGGAAAAAAUAUUUGAAACGUCUGUUACUGCUGACGUAGGAGAGGUUCCUGCUGCCUCGGUGUCCUCUGAACUCAUUGCAACUAUCGUUCUAAGUGUUCUGCUGGGCUGCACCCUUGUAGCCUUCCUGGUAUACGUAUUUAUUACUAUAGAAAGGAGUAAGAAGCAAAAGUGGUUUGUUGGGAAGAAAACUGAAAUUAUUGAGGGUUUUGAUAAUCCAGCUGUAGCUGACAUAAAUGGAAGUCCAAAAAUCAUAGAGAAACCAGAGCACACGAAUAAUGUGAACACUGAAAUAACAACGUUUACCAGCAUGGAAGACACUCAAGGAGGGGAUGCUGAUAAAGAUGUAUUUGAGGCGGAACAAAAAUGCGAUUAUCUUGAGACACUGCUAUUAGAUUUGGAAAGUGAACAUGAAGGAAACGUAGGAGCCCAGCCUGUUGCAGAAAUUACAACAAAACAGAAUGGCUUUUUGACAGAUAAAAAUGAUGAGCCAGCUCGUCCAUUAACACCUGAUCCCAUAAUACACACUCCGGACAAAGAACUGAAAGGCGUGAGAUUUUCAGAAGUGGCAGUUAUUUUGGAUACAGAGACUGAACAAGAUGAGCCUGAUAACGAAGACUUAUUUUUCAACAAUAAUUAAAAGAUGCGUGAUGAAGAAACCUUUUCUUUAUGAAAAAUCACAAUGACACUUAUUAGAACAAUACAGAAUGCAGUGAGUAAUAAAAAUACGGGAAUGCUAUCUAGAUUUUAAUUC